UAUCACGCGAUUGCGUGCUCCUGCGCACGAACGUUAAUCUAUUGAAGCGUGUUCCAGAGCACGAUAGUCCGACUUUUUGCGUGCUACACAGAACAAAAUGUAAACCAAUGCGAGCAAGGUACGUUUUAUUACUCUGUUUUCUGGGAAUAAUUGACAUAAGCAGAAACCAUAAACCAGCCGUUUUUUCGUUUUUUCGUUUUGUCCAAAAAAACGAAAAUCAAAAUUUCUGUUCGUUUAUUCGUUUUUUGGUUCUUUUUAACAAAACGGAUUUACCACUCAAUAUCUGGUUUCCGCCGGUGGGCGGGUCCUCUUAUGGCGAAUGUGCUUCGUUGCCCUGUGCUCUUCAAAAUAAAAACAAGAGAAUAGAUGGCUAGAUAAAAUAAACAUCAAGACAUACAAUUCUAAAAAGAACAGAUGAAGCAGCUACUCUUUUUUCCUUCGCGGUUUGCCUACAGAGCAGCGUACCUGCAUUUAAUAUAUCCGUGUAUUGUCACAAUUUCUCAGUAUCAUAGGUGAAAGUAGAAACGGGUGGCCAAAAGCUGUCAUAUUGUUAGUUAUCAUAGACAGUUUUAAAUAGAAACGGGUGGCCAAAAGCUGUCAUUUGUUAGUCAUCACAGACAAUUUUCAACAAUGAAUGAUCUGUACGGAGCUCCAUAAGGGACAUUAGGGAGAACGCUCCCGGACAGAACCUUAGUUUGGAAGUCAUGCUUAGUGACACGACAAAUAGCCUACUUCCAAUUGAAAUACAACAUUUAGAAAAUAGGCCUACGUGUCCCUGAUCACGUUUCGAAUGAUUAAAUAACGUGACAGUGUCACGUAUUUUCGUGAGACCAGGUUCGAGCUUGUGCAUGGGUUGAAUUGCGUGUGCCUCACGCCGAAUGCAUGAGAGCCCUGUAAUUACGUGACACAAACCAGCACCGCAAACGUUCUCUCCCUCUUGAGAUGACGUCUUUCUUUAUAGGUUCAUGGGUCUGAUUCGCCGAUUUCCCAUGCUGAUACCCCCGGAGAUUCUCGGGCAUCUUCGACAAUUUGGCUAUAGAUUGUCUCAUUACACUCUAAAU
rnacentral:lncRNA from 1 species